rnacentral:lncRNA from 1 species
GCCCAGUCUUGGGUAUGUCUUUAUCAGCAGUGUGAAAACAGACUAAUACAAGUGCAUUACUUCUAUGAGUAAGUAAGGAGGAAGCAGAUUGCCCCAACAAGAUGCCUCUUUUGUUCAAACCAGAGCUUGUUUAUCACAGAGAAAGAUGGCAAUAAUGUCCUGAGAAAUACGAAUGACCAAGGAACGCUAUCAUACUGUUUUGUGUGUGUGUGUGUGUGUGUGUGUGUGACUUCCCUGGAUGUGUGGAAGUUGACUUCCCUGGAUUAGCCAACCAUUUAUACUGAAAAUUAUGACACUGGUGGAAAAAGACAGGGCAGACUGUAUUUUCUUUUCCUUUCAGUCAUUUCUUAUCAGCAAGCAAAGGUAGGCAGAGUUGGUAGAAUGCGUGAGCAUCAUGAUGUGCAAUAAAAACAGUUAAAUUCGUUUUGUGUAAGUUUCCACUAUUCUUGUAAGAAUGAAAUACACAUGAAUGUAUAAGCUAUGAGAUACAAAUUGUGUAAUUUUGGUGAUUCUAUAUAAAAAUUAGAUGCUCUUAUAUUUGCAUCUAAACCUGGCAUAGUACAAUAUAAAAAUGAAUGGUAAAAUUAUGCUAAUUAUUUAAAAUUUUAACCUUUCUCUACUCAGAAUGACAAAGCAAGUAAAAAUCACCAUAGGAAGUCAAGAAAAAGACACCAACAGAAGAAAGAAAAAACCCUUUAAGGGAACUUCUUCCUGCUUUUUGAACUAGGGACUUCACAUAUUUCUUUUGCAUUGGGCCCCACAAAUAACAGGCCACAAUGAUGCUAUGUUGCUUCCAAGACUAGAUUAUAAAAAUAAUACUCUGGCAUCCACCUCUUCUCCCCCUCCCCCCACGUCCAUUCUCUACCUACCAUCUCUUUCUUAGGGGUUGGGGGAAGGGAGGGAAUUUCAGCCAUUUUGUCAAGACACCUUGGCCAACAACCACCAAGAGCCUGAGUAUUGCCAGCAGACGCAUGAGUGAGCUUGCAAGUGGAUCUUCCCCCUGCUGAGCCUUGAGAGAACUGCAGCCCUGGCUGACAUCUUGAUUGCAGUUGUAGGAGGAACCCUAAGUCAGAAGCACAGCUAAGCCACACCCAGAUUCCCAACCCACAUAAACUCUGAGGUAUAAACAUUGUUGUUUUAAGCUGCUAAAUUGUAGGAUGAUUUGUAAUGCAGCAAUAGAAAAGGAAUACAUUGAGAUUCAGUGGAAUGACAGCUUCCUCCCAAGGACUGAGGAAGAGUCCUCUGACCUAAAUCUUUUAGGAUGAGCAUUUCGUGAUGGAGGAAGUGGCAUCACAGGUAGAAGAUGCUACGUAAUCUAGGCCAGGACAACAUUUCCCAAACCACUUUCUCACAGAACCCCAUCAUAAUCUUAAAAAUUAUUGGAAGACCCCAAAGAGCUUUUAUUUAUGCAUUCUAUACAUAUUGAUAUUUAUCAUAUUAGAAAAUGCAAUUGAGGCAUUUAAAAUUUGUAUUUAUCGAUGGAUUUAGAAACAAUAACAUACCCAUUGCAUGUUGAGAUAGAUAACAUUUUUAAAAAAAUGAAUAUGCUUUCUAAAAAUAAAUUCAGUGAGAAGAAUGGCACUGUGUACAUUUUUGAAAACCCCUUUAAUCCUUGGCUUAAUACAACAAAGCUGGAUUCUAUACCUGCUUCUUCAUUGAAUCUGUUGAAGAGCACAUAUCAAGUAGCCUCUGGAAAACUCCACUGUGCAUUUGUGUAAGAAUGAGAAUAAAAAAGGCAAAUAAUAUCUUAGUCGCUGGACCACACAUUGAGACAAACCGAUCUAGGGCAUGGAGAUGAGAGAGUCCAGAGCACAUACUGACUAAACCAUGUUGAAGAAGGAAAAAUAAGGUUAUUCUCAGAAGGCUUGCAUAUCAUAGUCAAUAGUUUAUUCAGUAGAGGAUUUGGCAGACAUUAUUUGCUGCCCAUCCAAAAGCCAUUUCUGCUCCCUUUCUUCCUUGCUAAAGAAUCCUUGAAUCUGUUCAGAUAUUAGAAGGUCAUGAGUUGAGGGAAAGCAUGUUGAUUGGUGUUCCCUUUCCCAUGAUUGCUAUAAGCACACAUAUGUGACACAACCAUGGUGAUGAAAAGAAAUCAGCUGUGGUUGGUGGUGAUAGCAAAGUGUAAGCUUUCAUUGAUACAGAGGCUUACUCAUUUCUGCCUUUGGUUAUUGUGCUGCUUCUGCUUGCUGUAGCCUUCCUGUUUCAAUGAUGAGAAGGCCAAAGGAAUCUGUGAGCUGACCCAGAGCCCGCAUGUUGUUGACAAGCCACAGAGUUGCCCAACCUCUUUUAUUGUUAUUUUGAUUCAGGGAAUUCCUGAAGAUUCUGAAAUUGUGAACUGACAAGCCCAUGGAUGUCUACAAAGAGUGAACUGAUCACUGUGGGCUGGCCUUUGAGGCAUCAGUGAGGUGAUUAUUAAGAUAGUCAAGUUAAAGGUACUAUGGGUCUGAACUACACUGGUGUCAACAGAAACAAAAAGAAUACAGUAAAUGUGAAAGAACUGUGGAGAUAAAUUUUUAGGACUUAGCAGCUGAGUAGAUGGACAUUGGCAUGCACGGACAGGGGAACAGAAGGCAAGCAUCAGCAAUGGCAUGGUUAAUUCUUCGCCUGCAUGAUUAGAAGAAUAGAACAGAAAUACUGCAGGUUGGGCGGGGCGGGGAGUUGAUGGGUUAAAUUGGGACAUACAGAGUCAAGAAACAGAUACCUAAAAUAGAGUGCAUGUGGUUGGUGCUUACAUAAAUGUUUGCUGUGAUCUGGGACAGAAAUGAUCUGAUAGUCAUAGGGUUUGUUUCCUCAUCUCCUUCACAUUUUUACUAAAAUAUUGCUGCCUUAGGAAAGCCUUCCUUGGUCAUCCUAUCUGAAAUUGCAAUAUUCAUGACCUACUUCCUUAACACUCUUGUCCAAUAUAUCCUAAUAAGUCCUGUGUCACUUCUACACUAUUUUUUUACCUGAGCAUUUAUUUAUAUUAAACUACAUAUAUGCUUACUUAUUUAUCAUGUUUUCCUAAUAGAAGGUAAGCUCAAUAAUGGAACUUUUUAUCUGUUUUGCUCACUUUGUAGCUCCAGUGCCUGGGACAAUGCCUGACACUUAGCAGACAGUCAGUGAAUGUGUUAUAUAAAUGAAUGAAUACUUGGAGCGUGAGAAUCAGAGCGGCAAAAAUAUUUGUCCAUAAUAUGCCUAAAGAUAAAAACGGAAGCCUCAGAACUAGAUAAGUGCAUUGUAAUUGAAUGCUGAAUUCACAGAGAUAACAUCUGAGAUUUAUUAAGCAUCAAGUCAUGUCUUAAAAAUUUUAUAUACAUUUUAGGAUUUAACUCUUAUAAAAAUCCUGUGGGUAAGUACUGUUGUCUCUCCCACUUUACAGGUAGAGAGGCUGAGGUUCAGAGAGAUUAGGUAACUCAACUAAGGUCAAAAAGUUGGUCAGGGAGCUGGGCCUUUAUAUAAAACACCAAAAUGAGCCCUUGUGUAGAACCCUUGAGAGAGAUUUUAAUCUAAUGGCUGCAAUUUUAAAUUGUGUUCAGUUGUGGUAUGUAGUUUUUCAAGGAAGAUGACCCACAGCCUUUCUUGCUUUCUGGCUUUGGAAAAGGUAGAGAUGACCACUUAAACAUUCAAGGAAAAUAAUCCCUGACUUUGAAAUCAGAAGAUCAUUCAGAUAAUAUACUUACUUAUAAUCAUCCUCUCUAAUGUCUGACUAAAGCAAGAGUAAAAGAUUGACUGAACAGCAACAAAUACUUUAACAGUUAAAAAUAAAAUUGAUUGGUCUGUUGGAAACACAAAGCACUUUUAGCCCCAUUGGUUUUCUACCUGAAACCAGAGUGAAGUGACCUGAAGGAUCUCAUAAGAUAUAUAAGACCAGCAACUAUAGGAAAGAUGAUACUUUUCUUGAAGUCAUAUAUUGUCUAAGUUGAAGUUACAUGACUUAGAAGGUCAGAUGUGCCAUCUUUUCCCUUAAUGCCCCAGAGAUUCUCUUCACCAAGAAAAUGACUACAUACUUAUUUCAUUUAAAACAGACUCAGCCUAGUGAUGGUUUUCCUUCUUCUAUAAAAAAGCAGGCUAUUCAUGAAGAUAAGGACCCUUUUGGCUUUGCAACACGUUUUCAACAUUUUACUCAUGGACAUGAGAUGGUAAAACAAGAUGAAAAUGAUUCUUUUAUUGGGCAUUCAAUUAAAAAAUGUCAUGACUUUGCCAUUAGUUUGUAUAAAUCCUAGAAAUGAGUUUCAACGAGAGUGUGUUAUUAUGUUGGGAAAGAGACGGAAGUGUAUAACCUUGGGCAGAUCGUUUAACUUCUCUCUGCUUUACAGUUACAAGCGGUAAUACAAAGAGACAGGAUUAUAUGAUCUCCAAGGUCCCAUCCAGCCCAUUUAACACGGCAUUGUGGCUCUGGAGACCUGGAAGCACUGCUAACUGUUCUCUCGAUUUUCUGACGCUCGGCCACAUCAACCUGUCAUACUAGUUGUGAGGAGAAGUCAAGGACAGUGACACAGCCAGCCAGUCUGAGGCAUUUUCCAUCAUCCUGAAGGAGUUGCCCUAUCCUGCUUUUCACUGGAGGGGGCAUGGAUGGGUAGGUAAACACACCUGCCGUGAAGUUUCCAGUUCUAUCCUCCUGCAAGGCCUUCGGGGAUAAGUGUGUUAGAAGAUUGGUCAGUAUCAUUUGCCAACUUGAUGUCUCUUCCUUUUUUAAUGAUCCUUAGUUUCCCCACUGUUUCCUGUCACAGGAUUCAAUUUCACUCCACAUUCAUCCUUUCUUACUGGGCACUGAUGUUGAGAGCAUCAGGCAGGGUAUAAUGUUAUGUUGCAGUAACAAACACCCUCAAUAUCUCAGUGGCUUAAAAUGACAACGAUCUUUUUUUUGUUUGUUUGUUUAUGCUCUAUAUCACCCAGGGAUCCUGGAUGACAAAGCAGUCACCUACUUGAACACUGCUAAUUAUGAAGUCAGAAAGAGGAAAGUUUGCAGAGUUUUGUAUUGGCAAUCAAACAUUCAGCCACAGGUCACAGUCUAGAACCAGACACAUCAGUGUCCUCAACUGCAAAGUAGCCAGGAAGCAGCAUCCCAUAACACAGUCCUAUGUCCACUGUUUUGGAGGUAGGAAAUUGGAAAUAUUCAGUGAGUAGCACUGUGAGUAGGGCAGUAAUUUCAUUUUUUAAUUAAACAAAUGGAAGAUGGCAGCUCCUCAGUUUUUUCUUCUAUGGUUUAUUUCUGAUGUCUUAUCUUAAUUAAUAUAUCCUGAUAUCUAUUUCCCAUUACUUAGUCUGUCCUUUUUCCCAAUAUCCAGUUAUUUUCAGUAAAUAUUUUCUGUCAUUACACCCAGCAGUCUAACUUUUUGCGACUUCAGUGUCUAUUCUCAUUCCUCAGUCCCAAAUCCAUUUUCUUUAUUAGAUUUAUCUGAACUCCUGCAGCUCUUUCUGUCUGCAUCACACAACUUAACCUUUAAUUACUUGCCUACUGGGCAUUCUACUUGGUUCUGCCUUUUAUCAGCUGAAUCAGAACAUAACUUUCUCUCACCACCUCCCUCCCCUACUCCAAAUUGACUUUACCUCCUGAUCCCCUAUUUCCAAAGUGGUUCCAUUAUUCUUCUCAGUGCUCAGCCUUAACAUCUUCGUUUCUGUUUGACUUCUAAUCUCUGGCAUCUCAUAAUUGUGCAGUUACCAAACUCUCCCCCAUGAACUCGAUGUGCUCAUGUGGAUCAAAUGACACAGUAAAAGUGAAAGCACGUUGUAGACUCCAAAUACAAGAGGAUACUGCUCUCUAUUCCUUCAACUAUUUUUCAUUCCUUAUUUAUUUAUUCAUCAUUCAUUUAUUCAUGUAGUUACUCAAGACCUAAGUGUUUUCUUGGAACUGUGUUUGUUACUGAGGAAGCCACAAAUUAAAUAUAAGUCUGCUCUUCAAGAGGUUACAUUCCAGUUAAGGAGAUUGCAUAUCCAUAUUUCCAGAAGUACCAAUGUGAUUGAAGCAAGGGAAAUUGCUAUGGGAUAUCUGACCAACUGGAUAUUCUGCUGGAAGAGCAGAAUGCACUUCAAAGACUAGCCAAUAAAACUCUCAUGGGCUCCUGACACACUGACCUCUGUCAGUUCCUUCAGCACACCAGGCUAAUCCCCAGUCUUGCGCCUUUGGACCAGAGGUUUUCUUUGCUCAGAAUACUGUUUCAACAGAUCUUUGCAUAGCUGGCUCUCGCUAUUUGACUAAAAUGUCAAUCCUCAGAGAGGUACUCCUUAAAUAUCCAAUCUUAAGUAGCAUCCCUUUCUCCCAGGAUCCUGUUUUUCAGAACUCUGUUUUCUUUUUAAAACACUUGUUAUCUGAAAGGAUGUCGUCUGCUUGCUUGUUUGUUCAUUUCUUUAUUGUCUAUUCCAUCUCACCCCUUCUCAGGAUGUAAGCUGUUUAAAGGCAAGGACCUUAUCUGUGUUACAUGCUGUAUUCCCAGGGCUCAGACAGAGCAUGACCUAUCGUAUGUACUAAAUAAAUAUCUCCUCAUACUGUAAAGCUUUCCUGACUCUAAUCUCUCUUUUGGGGACCAUUACCAAGCCUCAUUACUGGCUUCUUUCUCUUUAAUGCCACUUUUACUAUAUAGCAAAUGUUCUGGCCAGUGGGAUGUUGCUAGAAGUGCAGAAUGCACUUCUAAGACUAGCCAAAAUAAAGAAAGAAAGAAAGAAAGAAAGAAAGAAAGAAAGAAAGAAAGAAAGAAAGAAAGAAAGAAAAACAGAAAACAGAAAAAAAAACCUCUCACUUAAGUUUUUUUUCUUUCUAUUAAAUUAAUGAAUAGAACCUCAGUGAGGUUCUAUUUCCUUAGAAAUAGAAGGAAUUUCUAAGGCAGGUCCUUCUGCCUUAGAAGGAAAGGCAGGUCCACGAUAUGGAAAGACCCUUGGCCCCUGCAGGACCUUGUAUUAGGCUGCCUGAUUGGCACCAUCUUCUCUGACCUAUGAUGAGAGUAACAAGUGUGUGUGUGUGUGUGUGUGUUUGUGCGUGUGUGAGAGAGAAAGAGAGAGAGGAGAGAAAGAGAGAGAAAGAGAGAGAGAGAGAGAGAGAGAGAGAGACCUCUGAGAAUUUGGCACUUAUCUGUUAUAGCAUUUGAUAUUGCUUACCCUAUCAUACAUGGCAACAAAAUCUUCCAUCAUUUGGCUACAUGCACUUUUCUAACUCUUCAAGUACUAUACACAUUCUCAACCAUAAACUGUUCUUUCUUUUGAAAGGACAGUUUUUCUGUCUUAAUUCUACCUUGACUUCUAUCCUAUAGCAUUCUGCAGUGAAAAGGACAUGGACCUUGGAAUUAAAUUUGAGAUUGAACUCAAGAUCCACCUCAACCUACCAACAUAUAUUCGGCAUGUUACCCACCUCUCUGAACCUUGCUUUCCUUCUUUGUACAGAUGGAGGAAAGUCACGACUAACCAUUCUGUUGUGAAAGAUUAAAUAAGAUGGUGCACAUGACUUCAUAUAUGUUCAUUAAUACAUUUCUUUCUGUUUCUUCAAGAAACUUCUUUCCCUUCUUUACACAUGUAAAAGUCCUUUGAGUCUUACAAGUUCUUCACUAUGCCCCAGGUUUUCUAGAGCACAUUUGGAAAGAAUGUUGACAGAACAGGUAAGAGUACGACCUCUGGGUUCAAAUUUUGGCUUUGACCUUUAAGAGCUAAGUAAACUUAGACAAGUUAUUUAACACCUUUGUACCUCAAGUUCAUCAUCUUUAAAACUGGAAUACUAAUAGUACAUAACUUGUACUGCUCUUUUGAAGGUUCAAUGAGUUAAGGAAUGCAAAGUCCUUAGAAGAGUGUAGUGCACAAAGUAAGCACUACAACAAUAAUACUUAGUUGUUAUUUUAAAUUUUUUUUUUAAACCUUUCAAACCUAACCAUCCCAACUCCUACUGACACUGCUCUUUUCUUUCUUUUUUUAUUUAUUUUUUUGAGGUGGGGUCUCACUCUGUUCUUA